AUUUGCUUUCUGCAUGAUUUUACUUGUUAGCUUUCCUCAUGGAAGUAUUGAUCCAAGCAUGGCAGGCCUUGCAGUGACAUAUGGCCUUAAUUUAAAUGCACGCCUAUCGCGGUGGAUUCUUAGCUUCUGUAAACUAGAAAACAAAAUUAUUUCCAUAGAAAGGAUUUAUCAGUACAGCCAAAUUCCAAGUGAAGCUCCAUCUGUUAUCGAGGGUUUCCGCCCUCCAUCCUCAUGGCCAGAGAAUGGGACAAUUGAUCUGAUUGAUUUGAAGGUUCGUUAUGCUGAGAAUCUUCCUACGGUGCUUCAUGGGAUAACAUGCACCUUUCCCGGUGGAAAGAAAAUUGGAAUAGUUGGGCGAACAGGAAGUGGUAAAUCUACAUUGAUCCAAGCACUAUUUCGAUUAAUUGAACCUGCUGAAGGGAGAAUCAUUAUAGACAACAUUGAUAUUUCUAUGAUUGGCCUACAUGAUCUUCGUAGCCGUCUGAGUAUCAUACCCCAGGAUCCAAC
rnacentral:misc_RNA from 1 species